rnacentral:rRNA from 1 species
UUAAGCGACUAAGCGUACACGGUGGAUGCCCACGGCAGUCAGAGGCGAUGAAGGACGUGCUAAUCUGCGAUAAGCGUCGGUGAGGUGAUAUGAACCGUUAUAACCGGCGAUUUCCGAAUGGGGAAACCCAGUGUGUUUCGACACACUAUCAUUAACUGAAUCCAUAGGUUAAUGAGGCGAACCGGGGGGAACUGAAACAUCUAAGUACCCCGAGGAAAAGAAAUCAACCGAGAUUCCCCCCAGUAGCGGCGAGCGAACGGGGGAGGAGCCCAGAGCCUGAAUCAGUGUGUGUGUUAGUGGAAGCGUCUGGAAAGGCGCGCGAUACAGGGUGACAGCCCCGUACACAAAAAUGCACAUAUUGUGAGCUCGAUGAGUAGGGCGGGACACGUGGUAUCCUGUCUGAAUAUGGGGGGGGACCAUCCUCCAAGGCUAAAUACUCCUGACUGACCGAUAGUGAACCAGUACCGUGAGGGAAAGGCGAAAAGAACCCCGGCGAGGGGAGUGAAAAAGAACCUGAAACCGUGUACGUACAAGCAGUGGGAGCCUCUUAAUGGGGUGACUGCGUACCUUUUGUAUAAUGGGUCAGCGACUUAUAUUCUGUAGCAAGGUUAACCGAAUAGGGGGAGCCGAAGGGAAACCGAGUCUUAACUGGGCGUUAAGUUGCAGGGUAUAGACCCGAAACCCGGUGAUCUAGCCAUGGGCAGGUUGAAGGUUGGGUAACACUAACUGGAGGACCGAACCGACUAAUGUUGAAAAAAUUAGCGGAUGACUUGUGGCUGGGGGGUGAAAGGCCAAUCAAACCGGGAGAUAGCUGGUUCUCCCCGAAAGCUAUUUAGGUAGCGCCUCGUGAAUUCAUCUCCGGGGGUAGAGCACUGUUUCGGCAAGGGGGUCAUCCCGACUUACCAACCCGAUGCAAACUGCGAAUACCGGAGAAUGUUAUCACGGGAGACACACGGCGGGUGCUAACGUCCGUCGUGAAGAGGGAAACAACCCAGACCGCCAGCUAAGGUCCCAAAGUCAUGGUUAAGUGGGAAACGAUGUGGGAAGGCCCAGACAGCCGGGAUGUUGGCUUAGAAGCAGCCAUCAUUUAAAGAAAGCGUAAUAGCUCACUGGUCGAGUCGGCCUGCGCGGAAGAUGUAACGGGGCUAAACCAUGCACCGAAGCUGCGGCAGCGACACUAUGUGUUGUUGGGUAGGGGAGCGUUCUGUAAGCCUGUGAAGGUGGCCUGUGAGGGUUGCUGGAGGUAUCAGAAGUGCGAAUGCUGACAUAAGUAACGAUAAAGCGGGUGAAAAGCCCGCUCGCCGGAAGACCAAGGGUUCCUGUCCAACGUUAAUCGGGGCAGGGGUGAGUCGACCCCCUAAGGCGAGGCCGAAAGGCGUAGUCGAUGGGAAACAGGUUAAUAUUCCUGUACUUGGUGUUACUGCGAAGGGGGGGGACGGAGAAGGCUAUGUUGGCCGGGCGACGGUUGUCCCGGUUUAAGCGUGUAGGCUGGUUUUCCGGGCAAAUCCGGAAAACCAAGGCUGAGGCGUGAUGACGAGGCACUACGGUGCUGAAGCGACAAAUGCCCUGCUUCCGGGAAAAGCCUCUAAGCAUCAGGUAACAUCAAAUCGUACCCCCAAACCGACACAGGUGGUCAGGUAGAGAAUACCAAGGCGCUUGAGAGAACUCGGGUGAAGGAACUAGGCAAAAUGGUGCCGUAACUUCGGGAGAAGGCACGCUGAUAUGUAGGUGAAGCGACUUGCUCGUGGAGCUGAAAUCAGUCGAAGAUACCAGCUGGCUGCAACUGUUUAUUAAAAAACACAGCACUGUGCAAACACGAAAGUGGACGUAUACGGUGUGACGCCUGCCCGGUGCCGGAAGGUUAAUUGAUGGGGUUAGCGGUAACGCGAAGCUCUUGAUCGAAGCCCCGGUAAACGGCGGCCGUAACUAUAACGGUCCUAAGGUAGCGAAAUUCCUUGUCGGGUAAGUUCCGACCUGCACGAAUGGCGUAAUGAUGGCCGGGCUGUCUCCACCCGAGACUCAGUGAAAUUGAACUCGCUGUGAAGAUGCAGUGUACCCGCGGCAAGACGGAAAGACCCCGUGAACCUUUACUAUAGCUUGACACUGAACAUUGAGCCUUGAUGUGUAGGAUAGGUGGGAGGCUUUGAAGUGUGGACGCCAGUCUGCAUGGAGCCGACCUUGAAAUACCACCCUUUAAUGUUUGAUGUUCUAACGUGGGCCCCUAAUCGGGGUUGCGGACAGUGUCUGGUGGGUAGUUUGACUGGGGCGGUCUCCUCCCUAAAGAGUAACGGAGGAGCACGAAGGUUGGCUAAUCUCGGUCGGACAUCAGGAGGUUAGUGCAAUGGCAUAAGCCAGCUUGACUGCGAGCGUGACGGCGCGAGCAGGUGCGAAAGCAGGUCAUAGUGAUCCGGUGGUUCUGAAUGGAAGGGCCAUCGCUCAACGGAUAAAAGGUACUCCGGGGAUAACAGGCUGAUACCGCCCAAGAGUUCAUAUCGACGGCGGUGUUUGGCACCUCGAUGUCGGCUCAUCACAUCCUGGGGCUGAAGUAGGUCCCAAGGGUAUGGCUGUUCGCCAUUUAAAGUGGUACGCGAGCUGGGUUUAGAACGUCGUGAGACAGUUCGGUCCCCUAUCUGCCGUGGGCGCUGGAGAACUGAGGGGGGGGCUGCUCCUAGUACGAGAGGACCGGAGUGGACGCAUCACUGGUGUUCGGGUUGUCAUGCCAAUGGCACUGCCCGGUAGCUAAAUGCGGAAGAGAUAAGUGCUGAAAGCAUCUAAGCACGAAACUUGCCCCGAGAUGAGUUCUCCCUGAGACUUAGAGUCUCCUGAAGGAACGUUGAAGACGACGACGUUGAUAGGCCGGGUGUGUAAGCGCAGCGAUGCGUUGAGCUAACCGGUACUAAUGAACCGUGAGGCUUAACCUU